CCCCGCAAUUUUGUAUGUUUUAUAAAUGUGAUUUUGAGAAAAUUUCUGAGACCAGCUGUUUUCUGGACCCUUCUCUUCAUCACCAGCCAGGCUGCGCAAUAGACGAACUUGCACCCCUCCAUGAAGAUAAAUUUACCUGUCCAUCACUGGCGCUCUCGGGAGUGGGAUGACCAUCUCUGAAGCAGUGGCUGCUUCAUAGUCAAGGGCAGACUGUGACCAGCCUCCUCCAACUAGCUUCAUGCUCCCUCUGGUCUCCAUGCCAUCUCUCCAGCCUGGCCCAAUGCAUCUUAAUGGAGCUACAUGAGAAAUAAGUUUAAUGAUGUAAAAUCUAAUUAAUCCCAGGCUUUUGUUGUUGUCGUCGUCGUUGUUUUGUUUUGUUUUUCAAGACAGGGCUUCUUGGUGUAGCCCUGACUGUCCUGGAACUCACUGUAUAGACCAGGCUGACCUCAAACUCACAGAGAUCCGACUGCCUCUGCCUCCAUAGUAUUUGGAUUAAAGACAUGUGCCCCCCACCACCACCGGGCAAACCCUGGCUUUCCUGGUGAAAGCUGCUUAGCCAGAUUGGACCUGGUUGUUUGCAUGUACAGUUUAUAAAACAUAAAGGGACAAUUUUAUUAAUAGGAAAGUGCCAAAUCUUUGGGGAUUUUCCCCCCAGUUUGGAACUUCAGACUAAGACAAAAUUCUACUUUCCUCUCAACAGAAGUUCAAGGAUGGGGACUAAAACAUUUAUGUCGUUGGUUCUUUUUUUGACAAAGUCAGUGAGUUACCACCGACAGUAGACAACUUUGUCAGACCCUUAGAAAAUCUUUACACUCUGUUUGAUGUCACUGAAGAUUACAUUUACUUAUGAAUCUUUUCUUUUACCAUCCUUAAGCUCUAAAAUGGAGUGGUAUUUAAAGUACUUGAAGUUAGACAAGUUUUCCUGGUAUUUUGGCAAACAAAGGGCAGGGAUUUUUUUUUUUUCAGGCCGUUUUUUAAAUCAGACGUUUGACUUCUAUGUCUCAAUGUCCACCUGGGUAAAAGGCUAUCUUUUUGUUACCACCUUCCUGGUUUCUUGCCAAUCCCGUUCAUGUGGGGUUCAGUGCACAUGCUCAAGUGCACUGAUUCCCUUCGUGCAUAGAGGUGUUCUCUCUCCCACCCACCUGUCGGGCACAGGCAGUACCAAACAAUGGCUCUAAGCUUUUGCUUCUCAGUUAAAGUGCUUGGGUUCAAAGCCCAGCUACAUCCACCAGCUGUUACAGAGCCCCCUUGUUCCUCAGUUUCCUUAGCUGUUGAAAAGCAGGGUGUGGCGGCAGUGAGAGAAGCCCCUGAGACUAUCAUGAGGAUUAAAUCAGAUGUCAUCUGUUCACACAGUGGUUGACAGGAUCUGGGCCUGCCACAGUUAUCUGAGGGUCUAGCUAAGGUACAAUGUCUAUGUCUUUUUGCCACCAAGGAAAAUACUUUUUUUUUUUUUCAGUUUGGGAUGUGUGUGUUUUCAUCUGGUACCUUCUUGUGAUAGCUAAUCUUGGUUGUCAACUUGACUACAUCUGGAAUGAAACAAAAUCCAAACAGCUGAGCAUGCCUGGGGGGACUUUCCUUGGUUGGACUAUGUAAGGCGGCAGACCCACCCUAAGUCUGGUCCACAUCUUCGGGUGGCAGCCCCCAAAAAAGGACAGAAGAAGGAAUCUUUUGUAUUUGCCUGCUUGUUCUCACUCUCACUGGCAAGUUCAUCUGCCCUGUCCUAAGCCAUUCCCACUGGCGUUUGACCUACUUCUUCAGAUUCCAUCACAGAAGCGCUCUAGGACUCUCCUGGAAUCCCGGCACCAGACUGGAUGGCCGAGGAAUUCAGUCUUGUGAACCGAACAACCACCAGAUCCUUGGCCUUUCCAGCAGGGACAGUCGUUGUUGGACUACUUGGAACACAGCCUGUUUUCGGCACUGCCUAGCCUUCCUGAAGCUCAUGUAGAACGGUUUUACAAAGACAGGCAAGAUACAAGGAGUCUGGCAUUGGGGAUGCCAUGGGUUGGGCCGCAGUAUUGAUGGUCAGAAGCAGCAGCAGGUAAAGGUAACAUCUGGGUAAGGACUUCUAGAGGGAGGUGACCAGGAGGACAACUACAGGAACAGUGUCAGAGAAAUUGGGUGGUGCGAAGGUCCUGAGGCCGGAAUAGGCUCAGGGAAUGGAGGAGCAACAAAGAGAGGUCACUGUGCCUGGAGCAGGAAUGAGAAGGGGAGUAACCGAGUGGCUAGACAGGCAGUGGAGUCAGGUCCCGUAGGACAUCAUCAGCCUUUGCUGUGGCCUUCCGCGCAUUGGGUUGCACCUCGUUGCAGCCUUUACUCGUUACCUCCUUCCGGUGAGCACAGGUUCUUUUUAGGCUAAGAGAGCAAGGUGAGCUGGAUUCAAAAGGUAACUUUCCACAGCUACUAAAUGCAAUGUGCAGGACUCAAUGUGCCGGGGUCCACGAUUCCAGUUCACCCUCUGCACCACCCUAUACCUUAAAUGCUGAGUGAGAGUCAAGUGAAAGCCCCGGCCACCCUUGAACCAACGCUGUGAGAGGACAGCCAUGUGGGGGGACAGAGUCCCCGGGUGAAGAGCCCACAGAGCUCUUCUUGUGAUCAACCUUGCGGGGCUGUGGUGUGAAGGCAAGCCGGACUCCCUAGCCCAGUGUGUUCUAAGAGGUGAAGACUAAUCGAGACUCAGGAGUGAUAUGGAAGGAAACAAGGCUUCAAAGUCAGAGGAAGGAUGACGCUAUUUGGACAAGGAUGGUCACAGUCUGCCCUUGACCCUGAGAGCGCCAGCGGUGGACAGGCUUCCAAAACCAGUACCCAGUGGAAGACCUCAGCAAGUUUACUGCCGACCUGAGAUUGACCUCAACCCUUUGAGUCACAUCUGCGACCACCCUUGUACAUUGCUGUCUUCCUGAAGCAGAAAACUCUCCAGGCUGAUAGUUGGGAGCUUAGCUAGGUGGGAUAUUGCCCUGAGGUGAUCUUUCCUAUUGUGUUAGUGAAGGGGGGGGGCUUCUCCUUAAUAUGCUAGUCCCUUAACAAGAACAUCCUCUUUCAGUACUUGCAUUAAGCUUCCUAGGGCUCUGUUUUCUCUAAAUUGCACUUUUUAAAAUUUCUUUCUGUCCCACUUGUUUUUCUUUGUAGACCUGCACAAGAGCUAUUAGUAGCAACCAUGCCGCAAAUUAACUUCCCUAGAGUCUAUGAGUUGGUUGUUAGUUGAUUUCCAAAUCUCUACAAAUUUAUCAAAAGUCAUUGGAAUUAAACACUUAAAAUGAGUACUGUUGGGCCUAAGAAAGGCUUGGAUGUGAGGCCCAGUCUAACCUCUUGAGCCUGGCUAGAGUUCAGCGACCUGUCUCUAACCUGUAACCUCCACGUGAGGGUGACUCAGCCAGAUCUGAUGCAAGA